AACGCGAAGAACCUUACCAGGUCUUGACAUCCCUCUGACCGUCCUAGAGAUAGGGCUUCCCUUCGGGGCAGAGGAGACAGGUGGUGCAUGGUUGUCGUCAGCUCGUGUCGUGAGAUGUUGGGUUAAGUCCCGCAACGAGCGCAACCCUUGAACUUAGUUGCCAGCACUUCGGGUGGGCACUCUAGGUUGACUGCCGGUGACAAACCGGAGGAAGGCGGGGAUGACGUCAAAUCAUCAUGCCCCUUAUGACCUGGGCUACACACGUACUACAAUGGCCGGUACAACGGGCUGCGAAGGAGCGAUCCGGAGCCAAUCCUACCAAAGCCGGUCUCAGUUCGGAUUGCAGGCUGCAACUCGCCUGCAUGAAGUCGGAAUUGCUAGUAAUCGCGGAUCAGCAUGCCGCGGUGAAUACGUUCCCGGGCCUUGUACACACCGACGCGUA
rnacentral:rRNA from 1 species